rnacentral:rRNA from 1 species
UACGAAGGGAGCUAGCGUUGUUCGGAAUACUGGGCGUAAAGCGCACGUAGGCGGAUACUUAAGUUAGGGGUGAAAUCCCAGAGCUCAACUCUGGAACUGCCUUUAAUACUGGGUAUCUCGAGUCCGGAAGAGGUGAGUGGAAUUCCGAGUGUAGAGGUGAAAUUCGUAGAUAUUCGGAGGAACACCAGUGGCGAAGGCGGCUCACUGGUCCGGUACUGACGCUGAGGUGCGAAAGCGUGGGGAGCAAACAGG